rnacentral:rRNA from 1 species
UAUAAUGGGUCAGCGACUUAUAUUCUGUAGCAAGGUUAACCGUAUAGGGGAGCCGCAGGGAAACCGAGUCUUAACUGGGCGUUAAGUUGCAGGGUAUAGACCCGAAACCCGGUGAUCUAGCCAUGGGCAGGUUGAAGGUUGGGUAACACUAACUGGAGGACCGAACCGACUAAUGUUGAAAAAUUAGCGGAUGACUUGUGGCUGGGGGUGAAAGGCCAAUCAAACCGGGAGAUAGCUGGUUCUCCCCGAAAGCUAUUUAGGUAGCGCCUCGUGAAUUCAUCUUCGGGGGUAGAGCACUGUUUCGGCUAGGGGGUCAUCCCGACUUACCAACCCGAUGCAAACUACGAAUACCGAAGAAUGUUAUCACGGGAGACACACGGCGGGUGCUAACGUCCGUCGUGAAGAGGGAAACAACCCAGACCGCCAGCUAAGGUCCCAAAGUCAUGGUUAAGUGGGAAACGAUGUGGGAAGGCACAGACAGCCAGGAUGUUGGCUUAGAAGCAGCCAUCAUUUAAAGAAAGCGUAAUAGCUCACUGGUCGAGUCGGCCUGCGCGGAAGAUGUAACGGGGCUAAACCAUGCACCGAAGCUGCGGCAGCGACACUAUGUGUUGUUGGGUAGGGGAGCGUUCUGUAAGCCUGCGAAGGUGUGCUGUGAGGCAUGCUGGAGGUAUCAGAAGUGCGAAUGCUGACAUAAGUAACGAUAAAGCGGGUGAAAAGCCCGCUCGCCGGAAGACCAAGGGUUCCUGUCCAACGUUAAUCGGGGCAGGGUGAGUCGACCCCUAAGGCGAGGCCGAAAGGCGUAGUCGAUGGGAAACAGGUUAAUAUUCCUGUACUUGGUGUUACUGCGAAGGGGGGACGGAGAAGGCUAUGUUAGCCGGGCGACGGUUGUC